AGGGCCCUCUGGGUCCAACCUCCCACCCGUGUUUAUUUUACCUUGUUGCUUCGGCGGGCCCGCCUUAACUGGCCGCCGGGGGGCUUACGCCCCCGGGCCCGCGCCCGCCGAAGACACCCUCGAACUCUGUCUGAAGAUUGUAGUCUGAGUGAAAAUAUAAAUUAUUUAAAACUUUCAACAACGGAUCUCUUGGUUCCGGCAUCGAUGAAGAACGCAGCGAAAUGCGAUACGUAAUGUGAAUUGCAAAUUCAGUGAAUCAUCGAGUCUUUGAACGCACAUUGCGCCCCCUGGUAUUCCGGGGGGCAUGCCUGUCCGAGCGUCAUUGCUGCCCUCAAGCACGGCUUGUGUGUUGGGCCCCGUCCUCCGAUCCCGGGGGACGGGCCCGAAAGGCAGCGGCGGCACCGCGUCCGGUCCUCGAGCGUAUGGGGCUUUGUCACCCGCUCUGUAGGCCCGGCCGGCGCUUGCCGAUCAACCCAAAUUUUUAUCCAGGUUGACCUCGGAUCAGGUAGGGAUACCCGCUGAACUUAAGCAUAUCAAUAA
rnacentral:rRNA from 1 species